rnacentral:rRNA from 1 species
AUUGAACGCUGGCGGCAGGCCUAACACAUGCAAGUCGAGCGGAUGAAGGGGGCUUGCUCCUGGAUUCAGCGGCGGACGGGUGAGUAAUGCCUAGGAAUCUGCCUGGUAGUGGGGGAUAACGUCCGGAAACGGGCGCUAAUACCGCAUACGUCCUGAGGGGGAAAGUGGGGGAUCUUCGGACCUCACGCUAUCAGAUGAGCCUAGGUCGGAUUAGCUAGUUGGUGGGGUAAAGGCCUACCAAGGCGACGAUCCGUAACUGGUCUGAGAGGAUGAUCAGUCACACUGGAACUGAGACACGGUCCAGACUCCUACGGGAGGCAGCAGUGGGGAAUAUUGGACAAUGGGCGAAAGCCUGAUCCAGCCAUGCCGCGUGUGUGAAGAAGGUCUUCGGAUUGUAAAGCACUUUAAGUUGGGAGGAAGGGCAGUAAGUUAAUACCUUGCUGUUUUGACGUUACCAACAGAAUAAGCACCGGCUAACUUCGUG